UUGGCGGACGGGUGAGAAACGCGUGGGUAAUCUACCCUUGGAUUUGGGAUAACUCUGCGAAAGUGGAGCUAAUACCGGAUAGUCUGGCUUUAAAUAAGAAGUCGGUGAAGGAUGCCUCUGCAUAUGCAUUCGUCCGAGGAUGAGCCCGCGUCUCAUUAGCUAGUUGGUAGGGUAAUGGCCUACCAAGGCAACGAUGAGUAGCUGGUCUGAGAGGAUGAUCAGCCACACUGGAACUGAAACACGGUCCAGACUCCUACGGGAGGCAGCAGUGGGGAAUAUUGCGCAAUGGGCGAAAGCCUGACGCAGCAACGCCGUGUGAGGGAUGAAGGCUUUCGGGUCGUAAACCUCUGUCAGAAGGGAAGAACGGGCAUUGGUCUAAUAGGCCUUUGUUUUGACGGUACCUUCAGAGGAAGCACCGGCUAACUCCGUGCCAGCAGCCGCGGUAAU
rnacentral:rRNA from 1 species